rnacentral:lncRNA from 1 species
CAAGUGGUGGAUAAGGUGACUCAAAGGAAAGACGACUCAACCUGGAACUCAGAGGUCAUGAUGAGGGUCCAAAAGGCAAGAACUAAAUGUGCCCGAAAGUCCAGAUUGAAAGAAAAGAAAAAGGAGAAAGAUAUCUGUUCAAGCUCAAAAAGGAGAUUUCAGAAAAAUAUUCACCGAAGAGUGUUGGUGGCAGUGGUGGUUUGUUGCAGGCCACUGUGUACACAUAGCUUAUCUGUCACUCGAGAUGAAAGAGUUCCUGCAAACUAACCAGAGAACGUUCCCCAAUACCCUGUACAUUAUUGGAAUUCAUGGAGGGGAGAAUUCAAAAGGAAGAUGGAGUGAAGACUGAAUAACACAAAACUGUUCUCUUCUACUUUAAGGAAAACCCAAAAGUGACACUGUGGAUUUUCACUGUUCUAAGCUCCCCGUGACCUGUGGUGAGGCGAAAGGGAUUUUAUAUAAGAAGAAAAUGAAACACGGUGAGUUCCUUGGUCUUCUGCUCUUUGGAAUCCCUAGAUGAAGGACUCACUAGAAGGGAGGAAAAUACCCGUGUGUGUAAUUGAUCAGGAAAUGGACCCUGCUAGCUAGACUGCAGAAGAAACGCUUCUUAGGAAGGAAUUUCCAAACUCUUCCACAUCAUGGUAUUUCUGGCAAUCAGACCCUCCACUCCCACCUGGAAGUCACCCAUGGGCCCUGCUGUACUGACAGCCAUGUCCUUGCUGCAUGUAGGCACUACACGAAUGCACAUUCUGUCCCACCCCUCACCACUCAGUCAGGCUUUAGGGCUGGCUUCAGUCCAAGAGAAGAGGCCCGCAGACUCCCCUGCUACUCCUUCCACCUCACAGAGGAAGUCUCUCUUGACCUGGAAAGGUAGAAGGCCACAAUUAGGAUGAAGAGGUUCAGGGUGAAUUCACAGAGGAUGGGGGUAGAUCCAAGAAUGGGCUUUUUCUUACAGGAUCCUCAGUGAAGUGCAUUCGGAAUGAGGAUGGAACUUGGUUAACACCAAAUGAAUUUGAA